rnacentral:misc_RNA from 1 species
AGAAGAUGAAGCUGAAAAAGAUGAUUCUGAUGAUGGAAGUGGUGAUGGCGGCAGCAAAGAAGGAAGUGGGAAGGAAAUGAGUGACUCAGAAUCUGAGACAGAACCUCAGACUCCUGCUCCUGCUGCUCCUGGAAAAGGAAAGGGAAAAACAGCUCCAAGGCAGCUCUUGACUUGAAGAAGCAAGUAAAUCUCCUCCAGGCUCUUAAGAAUGC